rnacentral:rRNA from 1 species
AGUGAACGCUGGCGGUAGGCCUAACACAUGCAAGUCGAACGGCAGCACAGUAAGAGCUUGCUCUUACGGGUGGCGAGUGGCGGACGGGUGAGGAAUACAUCGGAAUCUACUUUUUCGUGGGGGAUAACGUAGGGAAACUUACGCUAAUACCGCAUACGACCUACGGGUGAAAGCAGGGGAUCUUCGGACCUUGCGCGAUUGAAUGAGGCGAUGUCGGAUUAGCUAGUUGGCGGGGUAAAGGCCCACCAAGGCGACGAUCCGUAGCUGGUCUGAGAGGAUGAUCAGCUACACUGGAACUGAGACACGGUCCAGACUCCUACGGGAGGCAGCAGUGGGGAAUAUUGGACAAUGGGCGCAAGCCUGAUCCAGCCAUACCGCGUGGGUGAAGAAGGCCUUCGGGUUGUAAAGCCCUUUUGUUGGGAAAGAAAAGCAGCAGGUUAAUACCCCGCUGUUCUGACGGUACCCAAAGAAUAAGCACCGGCUAACUUCGUG